rnacentral:tRNA from 1 species
AGAUAAUGAAGUAAAUAUUACAUUUAGUUUCGACCUAACCUUAGGAAAUAGUUCCCUUAUCUA